GGGCAGGGCCCGGGAGGGGCCGGGCUGGCAUCGGCGGCCUCCAAUGGGGGCGAGCGGGGGCCGCCCGCGGGGCUCCGCGCAGCUCGGCGGCGGCUCGGCGGGGAGAAGGCGGCCGGAGGAGAGGACGGGAGCCGGGCGUCCGAGGAGCCGGGUGCGGACGCCCUGUGCGAGCCCAAGGUGAGCGAGGUUCCUCAGGAGCAAAAAACCUAGCAAAUAUGUGAGUACUUUUAAGAGAAAUCUGGAACUCUUUAUUUUCUACACUGCUAGCACCUGGUUUUAAAUCAGACAACUUUUGGUUAACACGUACAAGUGAGGGGGAUUUGUGGGCCUUUUUAUUGCCAAUCAAUCUGUGACAACUAAUUUUUGCGUUGAUUUUUACCAAUGGAUCCCUGCUUCGCCUUGACUUCUGCUUUGCUUGGAAGCUGUGGAGCGCAGGGAGCUAAAGCCAAGCCUUUCGCACGGAGUUUUAGGUCCUGGACUCAGUUAUAGGAAAGGCCUAAGCGUGGGAAAUCCCAUCCUUCUUUUUCUAAUUCCUUUUCAUCUCCGGUUGGACCCACUGAGGCUUUACACCCGCUCCGAAGGAAAUUAAAUUGUGAUUAAAUAUUAGGUAAAUUAUAAAGGGAUCUGGCAGGAGGGAUGUGGGCUCGGGCAGCUCGUUUUGGGGAGCCGGCUAG
rnacentral:lncRNA from 1 species